UACAGAGGGGGCAAGCGUUGUUCGGAAUUACUGGGCGUAAAGGGCGCGUAGGCGGCCUGCUAAGUCGAACGUGAAAUCCCCGGGCUCAACCCGGGAACUGCGUCCGAUACUGGCAGGCUUGAAUCCGGGAGAGGGAUGCGGAAUUCCAGGUGUAGCGGUGAAAUGCGUAGAUAUCAGGAGGAACACCCAUGGCGAAGGCAGUUCACUGGCAGUCUCCUGACGCUGAGGCGCGAAAGCGUGGGUAGCAAACAGG
rnacentral:rRNA from 1 species